UACGUAGGGGGCAAGCGUUGUCCGGAAUCAUUGGGCGUAAAGCGCGCGCAGGCGGUCCUUUAAGUCUGAUGUGAAAGCCCACGGCUCAACCGUGGAAGGUCAUUGGAAACUGGGGGACUUGAGUGCAGAAGAGGAAAGUGGAAUUCCAAGUGUAGCGGUGAAAUGCGUAGAGAUUUGGAGGAACACCAGUGGCGAAGGCGACUUUCUGGUCUGUAACUGACGCUGAGGCGCGAAAGCGUGGGGAGCAAACAGG
rnacentral:rRNA from 1 species